rnacentral:miRNA from 1 species
AGGGUCUGAGAUGUAGCUCAGUGGAGAGCACAUCUCUGCAUAUAUGAGGCUCUGGGUUAAAUCCCCUGCACAA